GACGGAGGGUGCAAGCGUUGUUCGGAAUUACUGGGCGUAAAGCGCGGCAGGUGGUCCUUUAAGUCCUUUGUGAAAUCCCGGGCUCAACUCCGGAUGUGCAUAGGAUACUGGAGGACUGGAGACUGGUAGAGGCGAGCGGAAUUCCUGGUGUAGCGGUGGAAUGCGUAGAUAUCAGGAAGAACACCGGUGGCGAAGGCGGCUCGCUGGGCCAGUUCUGACACUCAUCCGCGAAAAGCGUGGGGGAGCAAACAGG
rnacentral:rRNA from 1 species